rfam:Myotis lucifugus cont2.753, whole genome shotgun sequence.
AUCGCUUCUUGGCCUUUUGGCUAAGAUCAAGUGUAGUAAAAAUGAGAAUCCUUUGGGAAAAUUAUCAUAUUUUGUUCAAGACUUCAA